rnacentral:rRNA from 1 species
UACGUAGGGUGCAAGCGUUGUCCGGAAUUAUUGGGCGUAAAGAGCUCGUAGGCGGUUUGUUGCGUCGGCUGUGAAAUCCCGAGGCUCAACCUCGGGUCUGCAGUCGAUACGAGCAAACUAGAGUGUUGCAGGGGAGACUGGAAUUCCUGGUGUAGCGGUGAAAUGCGUAGAUAUCUGGAGGAACACCGGUGGCGAAGGCGCAUCCUGGACCGGCAUUGACGCUGAGUGAGCGAAAGCCAGGGGAGCAAACGGG